UUGCUUCAGCUGCGCAUAUACUGAAAUUAGAAAAAGACAAAGAUGAUUAGCAUGGACCCUGUUCAAUAAUGACAUAAAACUCAUGAAGUGACCAUAAUUUUU
rnacentral:snRNA from 1 species